rnacentral:rRNA from 1 species
GACGAACCGUGCAAACGUUGUUCGGAAUCACUGGGCUUAAAGGGAGCGUAGGCGGUCGCGUAAGUCCGUGGUGAAAUCCUCCAGCUCAACUGGAGAACUGCCUCGGAAACUAUGCGUCUAGAAUGAGGUAGGGGCAUGCGGAACGGAUGGUGGAGCGGUGAAAUGCGUUGAUAUCAUUCGGAACUCCGGUGGCGAAGGCGGCAUGCUGGACCUCUAUUGACGCUGAGGCUCGAAAGCCAGGGGAGCAAACGGG